UUGCUCACUUUGGCGGCACAUAUGCUAAAAUUGAAACAAUCCAGAGAAGAUUAGCAUGGCCCCCAUGCAAGGACGACACACAAAUUCGUGAGGCGUACCACAUUUUU
rnacentral:snRNA from 1 species